rnacentral:misc_RNA from 1 species
GGAAAACAAAAACCUGAAAGAAGAAAAUGUAAUAAAUGAGAAUCAUAGUAAAGAACAUGUCGAAAACAAGCUCAAUGGCAGUUCAGAUUCGAAAACUAUUAAAGUAUCCAAAAUCUGUGAUAAACCUAGACAGUUUAAUGAUUCAAUAUGUAACUUUGAGGAUGAAAAGCUAAGUAUUUCAAAACAUCUGGAGAACUUGGAGAAAAAACUUUCUCAAAUUUCUGGCAGAAAGGCCUCAGAUAAUGUUCCUUGUAACGGAUGUUCAGAAAGGAUAAAGAAAGAUGUUGAUAAUCAAGUUAAGAAACAAAGUAAUGAUGCGGGAAGUAUUUAUUCCCAACAGGAGGAGGAGAUUUCUUCAUCAACGCGCAAUGAUUUUUCUAAAUCAAAUGGCGGUCCCAUUGACAAGCCUGCUGCUUUAGACGUGGAAAAUGCUAUUGUUAGUGAAAAGAAAAACCAUGUAGACAAUAAUAAUAGUAAGCUUUCCUCUCUU